rnacentral:rRNA from 1 species
UACGUAGGGGGCAAGCGUUGUUCGGAAUUACUGGGCGUAAAGGGCGCGUAGGCGGCACGGCAAGUCAGGAGUGAAAGGCCUGGGCUCAACCGAGGAACUGCUUUUGAGACUGCCGAGCUAGAGUGCGGAAGGGGCAACCGGAAUUCCCAGUGUAGCGGUGAAAUGCGUAGAUAUUGGGAAGAACACCUGAGGCGAAGGCGGGUUGCUGGGCCGACACUGACGCUGAGGCGCGAAAGCCAGGGGAGCAAACGGG